rnacentral:rRNA from 1 species
CCCUUAGAUGUUCUGGGCGGCCCGCGCACUACAAUGGCGCUUUCAGCGAGUUCCUAUGUUGAAUUUUCCUGGGUAUUCUUGGAAGCGGCGUCUUGACUUGGGAUAGAUCCUUGUAAUUGUUGGUUUUGAACGGGGAAUUCCUUGUAAUCGCGGUUGAUCAGCUCGCGUUGAAUACGUCCCUGCCCUUUGUACACACCGCCCGUCGCUCCUACCGAUGAAUCGUCCGGUGAAGUUCACAGAGUGGCGGUUCGUGGAGUUGCUCGCGAAGUGAAAUGGACCUCACGAUUUAGAGGAAGGAGAAGUCGUAACA